rnacentral:tRNA from 1 species
GCAGACGUAAUCUAGCCUGGUCAGGAUCGUAGCCUUCCAAGCUACUAGGCCGGGUUCAAAUCCCGGCGUCUGCACCA